GCAAGUCGAACGAGAACGGGAUUGCUUGCAAUCCUUAGUAGAGUGGCGCACGGGUGAGUAACACGUAGAUAAUCUACCUUCAAGCCCGGAAUAACUAUUCGAAAGGAUAGCUAAUACCGGAUAAAGUUUGUUCACAUAAGUGAAUUAAUGAAAGAUUGCCUCUUCUUGAAAGCAAUUGUUUGGAGAUGAGUCUGCGGACCAUUAGUUUGUUGGUGGGGUAAAAGCCUACCAAGACGAUGAUGCAUAGCCGACCUGAGAGGGUGAUC
rnacentral:rRNA from 1 species